GGAUUCCCCUAGUAACGGCGAGUGAAGAGGGAAGAGCCCAAGAUUGAAAGCUGGCGUCUUCGGCGUCCGCAUUGUAACUCAAGAAGUGUUUUCCGCUUCGGACCAUGCCUAAGUCCCUUGGAAAAGGCAUCAUAGAGGGUGAUAAUCCCGUACAUGGCAUGGAGCGCCCGUAGCUUUGUGAUACGCUUUCUAAGAGUCGAGUUGUUUGGGAAUGCAGCUCAAAAUGGGUGGUAAAUGCCAUCUAAGGCUAAAUAUUGGGGAGAGACCGAUAGCGAACAAGUACAGUGAUGGAAAGAUGAAAAGAACUUUGAAAAGAGAGUUAAACAGUACGUGAAAUUGCCAAAAGGGAAGGGUAGGAGGUCAGAGAUGCGUCUUGGGAUUCAGCCUUGCUUCUGCCUGGUGUUUUUCCCAAGCUGCAGGCCAACGUCGGUUUUGGGCACUGGAGAAGGGUAGGAGGAACGUGGCACUCUCGGGGUGUGUUAUAGCCUCCUACUGAUACAGCGACCGAGACCGAGGAACGCAGGUACUCGUAAGAGCGCCUUUU
rnacentral:rRNA from 1 species